AAACUUUAAGUCAAAAGCGAAGCGAGAACCGCAAUUCACUUGAGUUGGGAUUUCCUAUUACUCCCCGAGGUGAACACAUAAUUUCUAU